rnacentral:rRNA from 1 species
CCUACGGGCGGCAGCAGUGAGGAAUAUUGGUCAAUGGGCGCGAGCCUGAACCAGCGAAGUAGCGUGAAGGAUGAAUGCCCUACGGGUUGUAAACUUCGUUUAUAAAGGAAUACAGUGAGGCACGUAUGCCUUUUUGUAUGUACUUUAUGAGUAAGGAUCGGCUAACUCCUUGCCAGCAGCCGCGGUAAUACGGAGGAUCCGAGCGGUGUCCGGAUUUAUUGGUUUUAAAGGGAGCGUAGAUGGGGUGUUAAGUCAGUUGUGAAAGUUUGCGGCUCAACCGGAAAAGUGCAAUUGAUACUGGCAGCAUGGAGUACAGGUGAGGUAGGCGGAAUUCGUGGUGUAGCGGUGAAAUGCUUAGAUAGCACGAAGAACGCCGAUGGCGAAGGCAGCCUACUAAAAUGCCACUGACAGUGAGGAGCGAAAGUGUGGGUAUCAAACAGGAUUAGAUACCCGUGUAGUC